rnacentral:rRNA from 1 species
GACGAACGCUGGCGGCGUGCCUAAUACAUGCAAGUAGAACGCACAGUUUAUACCGUAGCUUGCUACACCAUAAACUGUGAGUUGCGAACGGGUGAGUAACGCGUAGGUAACCUGCCUGGUAGCGGGGGAUAACUAUUGGAAACGAUAGCUAAUACCGCAUAAUAUUGAUUAUUGCAUGAUAAUUGAUUGAAAGAUGCUAUUGCAUCACUACCAGAUGGACCUGCGUUGUAUUAGCUAGUAGGUGAGGUAACGGCUCACCUAGGCGACGAUACAUAGCCGACCUGAGAGGGUGAUCGGGCACACUGGGACUGAGACACGGCCCAGACUCCUACGGGAGGGAGCAGUAGGGAAUCUUCGGCAAUGGACGAAAGUCUGACCGAGCAGCGCCGCGGGAGGGGAGAAGGUUUUCGGAUCGUAAAGCUCUGUUGUAAGAGAAGAACGGGUGUGAGAGUGGAAAGUUCACACUGUGACGGUAUCUUACCAGAAAGGGACGGCUAACUACGUG